rnacentral:rRNA from 1 species
UACGAAGGGGGCUAGCGUUGCUCGGAAUCACUGGGCGUAAAGCGCACGUAGGCGGCUUACUAAGUCAGGGGUGAAAUCCUGGGGCUCAACUCCAGAACUGCCUUUGAUACUGGUGAGCUUGAGUCCGGAAGAGGUGAGUGGAACUGCGAGUGUAGAGGUGAAAUUCGUAGAUAUUCGGAGGAACACCAGUGGCGAAGGCGGCUCACUGGCUCGACACUGACGCUGAGGUGCGAAAGCGUGGGGAGCAAACAGG